GGCCCAGUGGUGUAAUGGUUAGCAUAUUUACUGAGGAUGUGCCAGUUUGUAUAAACUUCUAGUAGAAGGUCCUUGUUCGAUUCAAGGCUGGGCCA